GAUAAGCGCUAUGAAGAGAAGAAUGAUGGAGUCUUGUGGGAGUCAGAGGGGAGGCGAAAAGAUGGCGAGAAUGGAGUCUGGGAGGUGUACCAUCGGAGCGGUGAAGAAGAGAAUACAGCUGAGGGCGAGAAGACAACAACAGCUGAACCAUCCACAGUUCACCUUCGACAAAGACGGGGACUGCAUUAUGACGGACGUCAGUCCUGAUCCUGAGCAGUUCACGUAUGAGCCAGAUGGGUCCUGUGUGAUGAGGGAUGUCUCUUGAGCCUGAGGAAGCUGUAUCUCCAUUUUUUUUUUUUUUUUUUAACAUCUAUUGGGAACUCAAUUACCAUCACUAGAGUUUCCCAAUAACAUCUAUAACAUCUGAGGCUCCUGACAUCUAAACCAUCUGAGGUUCCUGACAUCUGAGGCUCCUGACAUCUAUAUCAUCUGAGGUUCCUGACAUCUGAGGUUCCUGACAUCUGAGGUUCCUGACAUCUGAGGUUCCUGACAUCUGAGGUUCCUGACAUCUGAGGUUCCUGACAUCUAUACCAUCUGAGGUUCCUGACAUCUGAGGUUCCUGACAUCUGAGGUUCCUGACAUCUAUAUCAUCUGAGGUUCCUGACUUCUGAGGAUCUCAUGAAGACUCAUCGGGUGUCCUGGCUCCAUAUAACACAAGAUUCCAGUUUGGGAUAAACGUUACCUCAUCCAGGUGGAUCGUGCUGGCUCAGCUCACGAGGGUGCCUCCAGCUGUUACAAAAGUACAACUUCCAGGAUGCCCAGACAGCCAAAGCCAUCUAUCUAUUUCAUAUCUACACCAAACGAAAAAAGUCCUGCGGCACUCCAAAAAUAAAGGUGAAUAAGGUUUAUUAACCUGACAUCAAAGAGAUGUUUCAGCUGCCCGAUUGCAGCCUUUCUCAAGCUCGGAGCUCUGACUGUUAGGGAAAUGACGUAAGCAAAAAGGGAGGAACCUGGUUACCUUAAAGCUCAGACUGCCACACAGUUCAAGUAUAUGGCCGCCAUCAGUGCUGUAUCGGCACCAAGCUAAAAAUGGGAGCCUAUACAAAUCCUAUUUGAGAACAUCUUUGUUACGUACUUACCUGAUUCCUGAUGAUCGCUUAUGGCAAGAAACACGUAGAAUCUGUUGGACAACUGUCUAUGGGCUUUAACCAUAUACCUGGGGAGAUGAAAUAAGCCAGAGGAACUAUAGCCAAAGACGCAUAACCUGCGAUAUCCACUGAAUCAGGAGGAACAGUUCGCACCAUCUGACUGCAAGUCGGCACGUUUGAAGCAAGUUCUGGAUAUCAGGUUCUUUCUGUCUUUAUAGUGCUGUAUGAACUGUCUAUAUACCAUGCACGGGACUGCCAUACCCAGUGCAGACUACAGAGCAAUAACCAUAUGAACUUUACCUACAAAUUUCUAUAGUGUCGGGACUGUUUUAUCUGACUUCUACCUAAAGCAUGUUCCUCUAUUGGCCAUAUACUGAAAGAGACUGCACUGCUCCCCAGGGCUAUACAAUAAUAUGGCAUUUAUGUACAUGUUUUCAACUUUGUGUACAUCAUUUAUGUUUGCACCAGCACUAUUUGUGGCGGCCGGGUGUUUGAUAUUUUAAAUUUUUUUUCUAUGAAUAAAUCAAAUUAAUAACA